CCUACGGGGGGCAGCAGUGGGGAAUAUUGCACAAUGGGGGAAACCCUGAUGCAGCGACGCCGCGUGAGUGAAGAAGUAUUUCGGUAUGUAAAGCUCUAUCAGCAGGGAAGAAAAUGACGGUACCUGAUUAAGAAGCCCCGGCUAACUACGUGCCAGCCGCCGCGGUAAUACGUAGGGGGCAAGCGUUAUCCGGAUUUACUGGGUGUAAAGGGAGCGUAGACGGCAGCACAAGUCUGGAGUGAAAUGCCGGGGCUUAACCCCGGAACUGCUUUGGAAACUGUGCAGCUAGAGGGCAGGAGAGGUUAAGGGAAUUCCGAGGGGAGCGGGGAAAAGCGUAGAUAUUAGGAGGAAAAACAGUGGCGAAGGCGGCUUACUGGACUGUAAAUGACGUUGAGGCUCGAAAGCGUGGGGAGCAAACAGGAUUAGAUACCCGGGUAGUC
rnacentral:rRNA from 1 species